rnacentral:rRNA from 1 species
UACAGAGGGUGCUAGCGUUGUUCGGAAUCAUUGGGCGUAAAGGGCGUGUAGGCGGUUUGUUAAGUCAUGUGUGAAAUCCCUCGGCUCAACCGGGGAACGACGCAUGAAACUGGCAAGCUAGAGUACCAAAGAGGGGGGUGGAAUUUCCGGUGUAGCGGUGAAAUGCGUAGAUAUCGGGAGGAACACCUGUGGCGAAGGCGGCCCCCUGGUUGGAUACUGACGCUGAUACGCGAAAGCGUGGGGAGCAACAGG